AAAACAAAACAAAACAAAACAAAAACAAGUGAGAAAAAUGGGAAUUCUUUUCUUAUGAUGGUAUUCUGCAAGCAACACCUCUGGCACUGGGAUUGGUGGAAUUCGUUGUCCUUGUAAAACACUGUCAUGUUUAAUUUUCAGUUGGAUUCCUGCCCCCAGCUAAUGCAGAGAGAAGCACUGAUUCCUGAAGUGAGUGUGAACUGGUUGUCUGCCUGUUUUGCCCCAAAUACUUAUGCCAACCAGAGAGCAGCUCCAGAGAGAAGACAGUUCUGGCCUGUGCAAAAGUUUGCUGAAGACGCUUAUUUUCUGGAGACCCAGGCUUUUGUUCCCAGAUGGCCCUGUUGUAUACUCAGCUUGCCCGCCUCUAUCCUCGACAUCAUUUGAAAUGCUUACACUGUCUUCACCGUUCAGUAUUUAAAAGGAAUAAGUAAAGCUUCUCCCCUGUAAUUUGGUUACUUAGAAAGAAAGAUGGACAUGUUUUGAAAUCUUUGCUUAGUUUUAUUUGUCCUUUGUUUCUUUUUUUUUUUGUUUGUUUGUUUGUUUGUUUUUCUUGAAACUAAUUUUGUUAAUGCCCUUGAUAUCAGUACAGGUGGAUGAUCUCACAUUUUAUCCAGUUACCAUAUUUCUGGAUUCCAGACUGCUCUGGGUAAGAAGUCACUUGUAGGUAGUGUAGCUCUUAUAGCUUUGUUAUUUUGUUAACAUUAAUUGAACACAUUUUUCUUUUU
rnacentral:lncRNA from 1 species